rnacentral:rRNA from 1 species
UACGGAGGGUGCAAGCGUUAUCCGGAUUCACUGGGUUUAAAGGGUGCGUAGGCGGGUUGGUAAGUCCGUGGUGAAAUCUCCGAGCUUAACUCGGAAACUGCCGUGGAUACUAUCAAUCUUGAAUAUCGUGGAGGUAAGCGGAAUAUGUCAUGUAGCGGUGAAAUGCUUAGAUAUGACAUAGAACACCAAGUGCGUAGGCAGCUUACUACACGAUCAUUGACGCUGAGGCACGAAAGCGUGGGGAGCAAACAGG